rnacentral:lncRNA from 1 species
GUUUGGGGAGGGCCGCGUUGCUCGGAAAUGGUCCUUAAUAUGGGUCACUCGUGUGAUCGGGUCUAGGGAAGCGCCUGGUUUCCCUAGAAGUUCCCUCAGUGGCUCUCCUCGUGCACUUCUUAUUUGAGUGGUCCCGAAAAACGGCUUUUGUAAACGAGUCGCACUAGUAUGCUCUUAAGAUAUCCUCCUGAUUCCAGAUUAAAUUUUUUCAAUUCUCAGAUAAGAAAGAACAUGUAUAAGUGCCACGUCUGCAAGCUCACAUCAUGCACUCAGCUAUCCCAGUCUGGACUAGGAGCUCAUUGUGGUAACGUGGUAAGAUGCAGACCUUCUCCCAGAAUCAGGAGUCCUAAGGGAUUAAAGAAAAUAACAGACAAGGGAUAGUGUUACGAGAUGCAACAUACAAACCAAAUGGUUAUGGUUUAACAAGACAGUGCUGCAGCAAGAUUGCAUGUUAUGAGG